GUUUGUUUGGCUUUUUUUCUUCCCCCUGCAGUGACACAGGUCCGGGAUGUCUCCACCACUGUAGUAGAAAUGAUGUCUGCGGUACAGCGCUCGCUCCCUCUCCUCUCUCCAGCAUGUAAAUGGGUCUCUGCAAGUGCCAUAAACUGCAGUGAUGGGCAAGUAGCAAACAUGGAUGCAAAACCAAGACCACAGAAAACAUCCUCCUUCUGGACUGUCUCAGUCUGCUAUGAGUGGUCUGGGGACAGAAGCAGCAACAGGCCAAGAUGUCUGGACAAACGUGCCACUCAGCACUACAAGACAGUGAAUCUACAGCAGCAAAGCAGACAGCAAAAUUAUAUUCACCUAGCUAAUGUAAGGUUCAUUGAUUUAAUAAAAGGAACCAAGGGAGAGAGACAAAGACUGGAGAUUACUGAAAAUCAAGUGAAAGCCCUGGAGAAAUUCAAACCUAUCAUCAAGGUUCAGUUGUGAGUACAUGGCAUUCUCCUGUCUGCCACCUUUUUUAUUCCAGUAGUACAGAGUGUUACCUCAGGAGAAAGGAAUCUUUCCUUCUCAAACUGUUCACCUUGCCAAGAGGUGUGGCACACGCAGAGAAAGAGAAGCCACAUUCAUGCUGAAGCAAGCUUUGGGCAACGUUUCCUUCUGCAGCAGGCUCAUGUAAUAGGCUUGUGUGUUCUUCCACUCUGUGGCUAUGGUGUUUGCCUCAGGACCCUCAUUUUUUGCCACCCUCCAGGCUCUAGGUUUUUACAUCUUAUCUGUGUUUCUGCUUCAGAGUAGCAAAGAGAUUCCCAAAAUGUAGGUCCACUGUAAGUCAAAGCAAUAGUUUUCCUGAGCCAGCAGGCAGCCUUAGCCCACUGGCUCUGGAAAGCGCCACAACCGCCACCAGCCACGUCAGGUGCAUAAACCAUUCUCACCUCCUUUUUGACUUGAUAUAUAACAGGUGAGGGAUGAGAGGACUAUGCCUCUAUGAACAUUGACUGACACACGGGAUAUAUAAAUGUGUCACAAGACAUCCUUGUGCCUUGCAGCUCCCCUGCUGAGGGCCUACACUGGGCCUCAGUAUAUUCCCUCCACAAAGAAUUCCACAAAAUAUGGAGGUGUUGAUGAAAGCAGUGAGUGGGACACAAGAACCCACGUCAACUCGAGCAUUUUUAUUUACUGCUGGUGAUGUGCUGAAGCUGAUAUGAUGCCCAGUGGAAUAUAGCAUUGACCAAAAGAUAUUAAGCAAUUUUACAUGCAAGAUGCACACUGUCUAGAAGAAAUUGUGUUUCAAUUGACUAGCUUUAGUGUGUCAUCUACGCUGCACAUUUUAUACCAUUAAUGGUACAUACGGAAAAUGAGAGAAUAAGGGGUGUAAUACAUUGGAAUUAUUUUUUUGUUAAACAUUCACAGGGAAAUCCAGGGAUUGACAAUGUAUUGAGCAUGAAAAGUAAUUUCACAAUUAUUGAUCGUUAAAGUCCCAGCCUCCAAUCUGUCAUAAAAUGACAUUGUUGGUCUCAUUACAGCCUCUAGUGGACAGUAGUAAUCCACUUCACAGACCUGUCAUACCAUUUGCUCAAAUGACAAGCGUUAUCAACACAGAGGUUACUCCAAGAGAGCAUGAACAUACAAGUCAUUCUCAUCCCCUGGCAAAAAGGAUUUUUGAAUACAAUCAAAGGUUUGCUGUCAUUGCUUGUAAGGUGCCUUGCUUUACACUUCAGGUAUUAGCAUUGGCUUGUAAAUAAACAGGUAACUUCUGCUAUUCAUUUCAGCUUCUGACAGCUUUCAUAAAACCUAAAUUCAUCUCAAAUAUUUUUAUAACAGAAAAUAUUGGUUGCCAUGUUUUUGGCUUAAGUAAGAUGUUUUUAUUCCAACUCAGAAUCUGCCGACUGUCCAAUUCACCCCCUAUCUAUUUAUAGCCCUCUCGCAUUCAGAUAAGUUUUGCUAAUGCAGUUAUUUUCAUUAUUAUUUCAGACAUAUGCAGCUGAUUUAAGGUAUUUUAACAGCUUUAACAAAUGAGAAACUAUAAUUUGGAUUGCAGCUGGCUAAUUAAGGUAUGCUUUCCUCAGGAAAGUUAAAAAUGUACACGAUCUGAAGAAUAAUGUAUUUGGACUGCAUUCUUUAAGUGCCACUUGUGUGAACAUAAUAAAAUAUGACUAACAUCUUUAUUUUUUGUGUAUUCACUUAGAAAUGAGCGUACCUCCUGUCAAAACAGAGAUGUCGAGGAUGUUCUCCAGAACUCUGUGAUUGUUUUCAGAU